AUGAGAUUCCUCCCAUCAGUGGUCUACAGUUAUACAACAUUUGGGUGUAGUAAAUAUUGGUGUUGCUGCUGUUGUAUACAAACAUAUAUUGGGGGCGCUUGUGUGUGUGAAGUUCGUUCUGUCCAUCUGAAUAAUAAGAAAGUUAUGGUUGUGAUGGUUGUUGUAUCUCUCAUCCUAUGUGUCAGGGCUAGUGAUUUUAUCCUGCAUGCGUAUAUAUGCUUCUCAGUUCUCUCAAGGCAGAGACCGAAUGUUUGCUUGUCAGAAGAUAUUCCAUUAUUGUAUAGAAAAAACAUAUUGAGAUCUGUAAGGCAUACAUGUUUUUUUUACUACAACAACAACAAUAGAGCCUUUAGUCCUAAACAAAUUAGAUAG
rnacentral:rRNA from 1 species